rnacentral:rRNA from 1 species
AGCGAACGCUGGCGGCAGGCCUAACACAUGCAAGUCGAACGAACCUUUCGGGGUUAGUGGCGGACGGGUGAGUAACACGUGGGAACGUGCCUUUAGGUUCGGAAUAACUCAGGGAAGCUUGUGCUAAUACCGAAUGUGCCCUUCGGGGGAAAGAUUUAUCGCCUUUAGAGCGGCCCGCGUCUGAUUAGCUAGUUGGUUGAGGUAAUGGCUCACCAAGGCGACGAUCAGUAGCUGGUCUGAGAGGAUGAUCAGCCACAUUGGGACUGAGACACGGCCCAAACUCCUACGGGAGGCAGCAGUGGGGAAUCUUGCGCAAUGGGCGAAAGCCUGACGCAGCCAUGCCGCGUGAAUGAUGAAGGUCUUAGGAUUGUAAAAUUCUUUCACCGGGGACGAUAAUGACGGUACCCGGAGAAGAAGCCCCGGCUAACUUCGUG